UGCACAAGAGGCUCAGACAAAUUUCAUAAAGAUAAUGUUACACCAUUGAAGAUUACAUCUUAAAAGAGAAGUGAACAUAUUAAUGCUUGUAUCUUAAAACGUGCAAUAAAGGAUUGUUAUAAUUUUUAAAAUUGACUACAACUGUAAUGUAUAAUGAGGACAUAUUUAAAAGUUAUACAAAGUUCAUAUCUAGUUCUCAUUAUAGUAAUUCAACACCUGUUUCAGCAGUUAUUAUUUUGCAGUUUUGGAAAACUUUAUUCGCACUAGAUGGUUCUAUCAGUUCUAAACUAUUUUACAUAAAGGUCUGGAAAGGAUCGUUAAUUAGUGCACGGUUACACAAGAGGAAACUUAAACUAAAUUAACUUUAUACUGGAUAGUUCUAUAUCCGAUCCAAAUUUUCUCACCCGAGGUUGAGUAAGAACCAUCCUUGAUUUCUCCAGUGCAUGCAGUUACUACAGGAGUAAGCCUUCCCUUCUUCACCCCUCACAGCCCAAUACAUUUUUUUUUCUUUUUUGUUAUUUUCUUAAAUUUGUUCCAUUUAUUCAACUUGCUAUCACAAAUGUUAUCACUAUAGUGGUGUAGUCAUAUACGUGUAGUUCACAUUCACUGCAGUCACUGUGAUGAUAAGAUAAACUAAUGUAUACAUAGAAUUCCUUCAAAAUAUAAUGCAUACAGUCAAAGUCUAAUGCAUACAUAGAAUUCCUUCAAAAGUUGAAAGUUGUUGAAAAAUACUUAAUGGUCAGAUUGGGAUCGGACUCGUCGACAUAUUUUGAUACCUUUGAUAACUUUCAUUCCCUCGCUGCGUAAAAUCUUGUUAUUCCAGAAAAAGAUUAAGCAGUUAAAUGUUGAAUUCAUUGGGAAUAAGGUCGAACUCCAGAGUCCUAAAAUGUAUACACUCACCGGCAAUGUUGAUGGAUCUUUUGAGGUUAUCCUUAGUCCAAUGUGAACGAAUGCUGGAAUGCUUAGAACCACAAAACAAGCAACUACUAGCAAGCAACUCGAUAUAUUUUUCAAAGAAAACGUCUUUUUCAUCUCGGGCGAUAUUCCAUUGUUUCUACGACUUUUCCUGGCGAUUGUAAACAAUUUGUAGUUGAUAAACAACAUUGAAGAAAAGAAAAUCAUAUUAACUAUUAGAAGAAGAACGUCAUGGGAAAUAAAUUCGUUUACACUCAUCAAUCCAAAAAUAAGUCCGACAAUAAUUAGUAUUGCAAGAAGGGUUACAAGUCUUCCCUUUGUUACCGAUGUUCGAUGAAAGAUAGGAUAAUAUGUCGCCAAAUAUCGAUCAAAAUUCAUCACCAAAAGAGCGGCCAAAGAAAGACCAUAGAAAAC